rnacentral:lncRNA from 1 species
AUGGAAGCACCCACAUACGAAAACAAUUGUGGUGUCUGUGUGCUUCAAGGUAUACAUCAGUUCAAUGGUGCAUAUGGAUGUGGCCAUUGCUUAAGUGAAGGAAAAACAGUGCCAAAGGGAAGAGGAUAUGCCAGAGUCUAUCCGCCCACUGAGGCACAAAAAAGAACCCAUGGCCAUGUUAUUGAAUGUGGGCAGAUGGCCACUGAGAAUGAUGUUGACCAUGUUUAUGGCGUGAAGACAGUAUCACCAUUAGUCCUUCUGAAUCCCUCCACUGGUUUUGACAUUGUGGACAGCUUUCCAACUGAUUACAUGCACUGUGUUCUCUUGGGAGUGACAAAGCAAUUCUUGGACUUGUGGUUCAAUAGCAAGUACCAUGACAGCCCUUGGUACAUUGGUACAUCACAUAAGCAUGUGGAUCAAAGGCUGCUUUCCAUCAAACCUCCAUCUGAUAUACCAAGAGUACCACGGACUGUGAAAGUAGCACAAAGGUGGAAGGCUGCAGAAUGCCGAAGCUGGCUAUUGUUCUACAGUGGACCUGUUCUGUACAAGAUUCUUCCAACAAAAUUUUUGAAACAUUGGCUACUUCUAGUCACUGCUAUUUUUUGCUUUCUUAAAGACACAAUCACAGAAAGUGACUUGGCAGCCGCAACAUUCAAGAUAACAAAGUUUGUGCAGGAGAUACCAAUGACAUAUGGCUUGUGCCAAAUGUCCUUCAAUGUCCAUCAACUCACACACUUGCCCUUCUCUGUCAAGAUGUUUGGACCUCUUUGGUGUACAUCUGCAUUUUCAUUUGAGGACCACAACCAAAAACUGAAGAGGUUGUGUCAUGGAACAAAUUACAUUCCAUCUCAAAUUGCACGGCAAUUCAACAUACUUCAGUCAAUUCCUCAACUACUGAAACAAACGAUGACUAGCGCUGAUGUCUCAAAUAGGGUGGACAAACUUGUCAAUGACUGGCUAGGUGUUUAUCCUCUUGUUGCUAAGGCACAGAAGCUGGAAGGUCUCGUUUUGUUGGGAUGUUCUCGACAAAAAGUCCUAAAUCACAAGGACAAGUUCUUAAUGCUUCCAGUCUGUGAUCUAUCUGAGAAAGAUGAGUACUCUGCAGAGAUAUAUAACAGAGCCAUUGUAAACGGACAACUGUUAACUACAGAGCAAUAUGGAAAGGCGUACAAACACAACAGUUUUACAGUUCAACUUAGAAAUGGUUGCAUUGGAAAGAUUGAGUCAAUUGUAAAUAUCAUACAUGAUCACAAAAACAAUCCACUGAUCCAAGUUCAGCUUUUACAAACUGCACCUGCUCAUUUUGUGUCUGAAGGAUCACCUUCCCAUAUAAAAGAAGUGGUGCCAACUGCAACAGUCAUGAUUGUGAAACCUCUGGAAGUUGUCCGCAAGGUUGUGCACAUAAGCUUCAAAAAAACAUGCUAUGUUGCAUUACAACCAAACAACAUAGAGCUAGACUGA